rnacentral:lncRNA from 1 species
CUCCGGGUGAAGGAUUGGACGGUGGUCCUGGGACUGAAGGUGGAGGGUUUCGAGUAGGAGUAACAGGUGCGGGAGGAGAUCCGGGCGUAGUUGGAGCGGGUGGAGACGGCUGAGGAAGAGGAGGUGAAGAUCCCGGCGUAGAUGGAGUUGGUGGAGAUGGAGAUGGAGGAGGAGCAGAAGGUGUAGAGGGAGAAGAAGGAGGAGGAGUGGAUGGCGGCGGAGGAGAAGAAGGUGUGGUGGGAGGAGGAGCGGAAGCUGGAGGAGGAGUGGUGAUUGUGGAGUUUGAUGGUGGAGAUGGAGGCGAACCAGUCCCCGGAGACGGCGCCG